CGGCGCUCAAUGAGGCGUCAACGUGAUUAGUUACACCUGUGCUCGUCUUCCCCUCUGAAAAUAUGUAACAUCGCCAUGAAAAACGUCGGAUAAAACUUACGCAAUGUUACAAGCUGACAUUACAUUAGGCCUCAAAGUUGCUCUUCAUUAAGUUACUCAGCCCAACUCCAUGUAAUGUGCUUUCCAUCGACUCCGCCACCUGCACACUUCUCAAAAAUGCCGUUAUUGACCGACUAGCAACAGAUAACAGCUAGCUUAGCAACAAGUAACGUUAGCCGUUAGAUCCCAAGGCCUCGUCCAACAACAGCCGUGGUGGUUAAUCACAACCUUCCACCCCUAAACAAAACCCAGGUGAUGCCAAACAGCCACACUUCCUGCCCUGCUAUGAAGACACGGCAUGUUUAAAAGACAACGUCGCUGUGAGCUUAUGCUCUUCCUCUUUGGAACAAGCUAACCUCUCUCCUGCUGCAGCAGCAGCUAACAUGUUUUGGUCCAGUGGCUUCACGGAAGAAGACAUGCACGUCCGUCAUCUAAACCUCACUCAGCUCUUGGGAGAUUUUGGCAUCUGCCUUGCGCAGCAGCAAGAAAAAUCCCCCAUGGAGUCCACACACUGGUGGUGGCUGAUGACUCUGCUGAGACCUGAUUAAAUGAAGAAAGCUGGAUCACAGAACACCACCAGCUCGCUUGGAUUUCAGCCUACAGUUUUAGAGAGAGCUCUGUGGGUCGCAAGUUGUCGAGAGAUGCAAUGGAUCAAUCAGAGGGUGUUUAAGUCCCUGGCAGAGUCAGAGUCCUCUCCUCAGUUCGCACAACUGCUGCAUUGCAGAUAAAAAAAAAACAACCCUCUGCUCUGCCAGACACCUUUUACACACAACAGGGACCAGCUGACGUCCUAAACUCAAUAAAUCACACUCUAUCAGUUAGUGGAUAUA